UAACCUGGUUGAUCUUGCCAGUAGUCAUAUGCUUGUCUCAAAGAUUAAGCCAUGCAAGUGAAAGUACAUAUAUAUGUAAUAUAUAGAAACUGCGAACGGCUCAUUAAAACAGUUAUAAUCUACUUGACAUUUUUUAACAUAAGGAUAACUACGGAAAAUCUGUAGCUAAUACUUGUAAAAAUAUCAUUUGAUAUAUACAUAUAUAUAUAUAUAUAUGUAUGUAUCAUUAUGGUAUGUAUUUGUUAGAUGUAAGAAGUAAAUAAAAUAAAUAUAAUUGAAUUAUAACAAAGAAGGAACACAUAUUAAAAUAUAAGUGUGUAUCAAUCGAGUAUCUGACCUAUCAGCUUUUGAUGUUAGGGUAUUGACCUAACAUGGCUAUGACGGGUAACGGGGAAUUAGAGUUCGAUUCCGGAGAGGGAGCCUGAGAAAUAGCUACCACAUCUAAGGAAGGCAGCAGGCGCGUAAAUUACCCAAUUCUAAAGAAGAGAGGUAGUGACAAGAAAUAACAAUACAAUAUCGAAAAAUGAUUUUGUAAUUGGAAUGAUAGGGAUUUAAAACAUUCCUAGAGAAACAAUUGGAGGGCAAGUCUGGUGCCAGCAGCCGCGGUAAUUCCAGCUCCAAUAGCAUAUAUUAAAAUUGUUGCAGUUAAAACGUUCGUAGUUGAAUACCAAAGAAUCCGAUGUUUCAUUUAAACUGAUUUGGGGAAACUAUAUAUAUAUAUUUUGCUUUUUGCUUAAUAAGUUUCUUCUAUUAAUUAUGUUUUUAUCAGAUAUGAAAGUUUCUUUUAAAAAUCUGUUCAUUUUGCAAUUUUUUUUGUUUUUUGAUGGAUUUUGUUACUUUGAGUAAAAUACAGUGUUCAUAACAGACGGCUAUACAAUAGAUUAGUUUCAUUGUGUUUGAAUACUACAGCAUGGAAUAACAAAUAUGAAUAAGCUAAUCCUUUUUUUUUUUCUUAUUUUUUUGAUAUUCUUAUUAGCUUAGUUACGAUUAACAGGAGUAGCUUUGGGGGCAUUCGUAUUCAGAUGUCAGAGGUGAAAUUCUAAGAUUUUCUGGAGACGGACUACUGCGAAAGCAUUUGCCUAAUCUAUUUCCAUUAAUCAAGAACGAAAGUUAAGGGAGUGAAGACGAUCAGAUACCGUCGUAAUCUUAACCAUAAACUAUACCGACUAGGUGUUGGAUGAAUAUAAAAUAUAUAUAAAAACGUAACAUUUCUUAGGGGAUGUUUAUUUUAUAUUAGAUUGCUUCCUUCAGUACCUUAUGAGAAAUCAAAGUCUUUGGGUUCUGGGGCGAGUAUUCGCGCAAGCGAGAAAGUUAAAAGAAUUGACGGAAGGGCACCACCAGGCGUGGAGCUUGCGGCUUAAUUUGACUCAACACGGGAAAACUCACUAGUUUAAGACAAGAGUAGGAUUGACAGAUUAAUAGCUCUUUCUUGAUUUCUUGGAUGGUGAUGCAUGGCCGUUUUUAGUUCGUGAAUAUGAUUUGUCUGGUUAAUUCCGAUAACGAACGAGAUCUUAACCUGCUAAUUAGCGGCAAGUACACCAUAUUUUUAAUUGAAAAUGCAUAUAGGUAAUUAUGCAUUUAUUCAGUGUUCAAAUUAGGAUAUUUUUAUUAAAAUAUCCUUUUCCCUGUUCUACUAUAUAAUACAUUGUAUUUUUACAAUAUAUCAUUUUUUUUUAAGAAUGUACUUAUUUGAUUGUAAAAGCUUCUUAGAGGAACAAUGUGUAUCUAACACAAGGAAGUUUAAGGCAACAACAGGUCUGUGAUGUCCUUAGAUAAACUAGGCUGCACGCGUGCUACAAUGAUAUAUAUAACAAGUUGUUAAAAAUAUACUAAUAUAUUUGUAUCUGUUGAUACUUUGUAUUUAAUAUGUAUAGUUUUUCCUGUACUGAAAAGUAUAGGUAAUCUUUAUCAGUAUAUAUCGUAAUUGGGAUAGAUUAUUGCAAUUAUUAAUCUUGAACGAGGAAUGCCUAGUAAGCAUGAUUCAUUAGAUUGUGCUGACUACGUCCCUGCCCUUUGUACACACCGCCCGUCGCUCCUACCGAUUGAAAGAUAUGAUAAAUUGUUUGGAUAUGAAUUAAAAUAAUGAAAUUUUAUAUUUCUGAUUUUUUCUAGAAGAACUGUAAAUCCUAUCUUUUAAAGGAAGGAGAAGUCGUAACAAGGUUUCCGUAGGUGAACCUGCGGAAGGAUCAUUA
rnacentral:rRNA from 1 species